rnacentral:rRNA from 1 species
UGGUAUGGGAUGAGCUUGCGUCCGAUUAGCUAGUUGGCGGGGCAACGGCCCACCAAGGCGACGAUCGGUAGCCGGCCUGAGAGGGUGAUCGGCACAUUGGGACUGAGAUACGGCCCAGACUCCUACGGGAGGCAGCAGUAGGGAAUAUUGCACAAUGGGGGAAACCCUGAUGCAGCAACGCCACGUGUGGGAAGAAGCAUUUCGGUGUGUAAACCACUGUCAUGAGGGAAUAAGGCCCGCCUUCGGACGGGAUUGAAUGUACCUUGAGAGGAAGCACCGGCAAACUUCGUGCCAGCAGCCGCGGUAAUACGAGGGGUGCAAGCGUUGUUCGGAAUUACUGGGCGUAAAGGGAGCGUAGGCGGAGAUUCAAGCGGAUUGUACAAUCCCGGGGCCCAACCCCGGCUC